rnacentral:rRNA from 1 species
UACAGAGGGGGCAAGCGUUGUUCGGAAUUACUGGGCGUAAAGGGCGCGUAGGCGGCCUUCUAAGUCGAACGUGAAAUCCCCGGGCUCAACCCGGGAACUGCGUCCGAGACUGGAAGGCUUGAAUCCGGGAGAGGGAUGUGGAAUUCCAGGUGUAGCGGUGAAAUGCGUAGAUAUCUGGAGGAACAUCGGUGGCGAGGGCGGCAUCCUGGACCGGUAUUGACGCUGAGGCGCGAAAGCCAGGGGAGCAAACGGG